GCUUGCUCCCGGAUGUUAGCGGCGGACGGGUGAGUAACACGUGGGUAACCUGCCUGUAAGACUGGGAUAACUCCGGGAAACCGGAGCUAAUACCGGAUAGUUCCUUGAACCGCAUGGUUCAAGGAUGAAAGACGGUUUCGGCUGUCACUUACAGAUGGACCCGCGGCGCAUUAGCUAGUUGGUGAGGUAACGGCUCACCAAGGCGACGAUGCGUAGCCGACCUGAGAGGGUGAUCGGCCACACUGGGACUGAGACACGGCCCAGACUCCUACGGGAGGCAGCAGUAGGGAAUCUUCCGCAAUGGACGAAAGUCUGACGGAGCAACGCCGCGUGAGUGAUGAAGGUUUUCGGAUCGUAAAGCUCUGUUGUUAGGGAAGAACAAGUGCAAGAGUAACUGCUUGCACCUUGACGGUACCUAACCAGAAAGCCACGGCUAACUACGUGCCAGCAGCCGCGGUAAUACGUAGGUGGCAAGCGUUGUCCGGAAUUAUUGGGCGUAAAGGGCUCGCAGGCGGUUUCUUAAGUCUGAUGUGAAAGCCCCCGGCUCAACCGGGGAGGGUCAUUGGAAACUGGGAAACUUGAGUGCAGAAGAGGAGAGUGGAAUUCCACGUGUAGCGGUGAAAUGCGUAGAGAUGUGGAGGAACACCAGUGGCGAAGGCGACUCUCUGGUCUGUAACUGACGCUGAGGAGCGAAAGCGUGGGGAGCGAACAGGAUUAGAUACCCUGGUAGUCCACGCCGUAAACGAUGAGUGCUAAGUGUUAGGGGGUUUCCGCCCCUUAGUGCUGCAGCUAACGCAUUAAGCACUCC
rnacentral:rRNA from 1 species